rnacentral:rRNA from 1 species
CAUGUCUUUUUGAUUAUAAUUUAAAGUCUGACCUGCCCUAUGAUAGAAAUAUUAAAUGGCCGCGAUAAUUUGAUCGUGCAAAGGUAGCAUAAUAAUUAGCUUUUUAAUUGGGAGCUGGAAUGAAAGGUCGAACGAGAAAAAAUCUGUCUCAAUUUAAUUUAAAUUAGAAUUUUAUUUUUAAGUAAAAAAGCUUAAAUAAUUUUAAAAGACGAGAAGACCCUAUAGAGUUUUAUAUUUAUAAAUUAUUUUUUUAUUUUUAGAAUUUUAGUUUAAGAUUAAUUUAUAAAUAUUUGAUUGGGGUGAUUGAAAAAUUUAAAAAACUUUUUUUUUAUUAAACCAUUGAUAUAUGAAAAGUUGAUCCAUAAUUAUAUGAUUAAAAGAUUAAAUUACCUUAGGGAUAACAGCGUAAUUUUUUUUGAGAGUUCUUAUCGAAAAAAAAGUUUGCGACC